rnacentral:ncRNA from 2 species
UAAAUACAUAUUCUCCGAGCCCGGACGCCUACAGCCAACGAACGGCCAGGGUGAGCGGGCCGACAGGGUGCGGUGGGAAACUACCGUGCCUCCCGGUGCGGAAAGGAGGGUUUUAUCAUGUGCAA